GGCAGCAUGAUCUAGCUUGCUAGAUUGAUGGCGAGUGGCGAACGGGUGAGUAAUACAUCGGAACGUGCCCUGUAGUGGGGGAUAACUAGUCGAAAGAUUAGCUAAUACCGCAUACGACCUGAGGGUGAAAGUGGGGGACCGCAAGGCCUCAUGCUAUAGGAGCGGCCGAUGUCUGAUUAGCUAGUUGGUGGGGUAAAGGCCCACCAAGGCGACGAUCAGUAGCUGGUCUGAGAGGACGAUCAGCCACACUGGGACUGAGACACGGCCCAGACUCCUACGGGAGGCAGCAGUGGGGAAUUUUGGACAAUGGGGGCAACCCUGAUCCAGCAAUGCCGCGUGUGUGAAGAAGGCCUUCGGGUUGUAAAGCACUUUUGUCCGGAAAGAAAUCGCACUUACUAAUAUUAGGUGUGGAUGACGGUACCGGAAGAAUAAGGACCGGCUAACUACGUGCCAGCAGCCGCGGUAAUACGUAGGGUCCAAGCGUUAAUCGGAAUUACUGGGCGUAAAGCGUGCGCAGGCGGUUGUGCAAGACCGAUGUGAAAUCCCCGGGCUUAACCUGGGAAUUGCAUUGGUGACUGCACGGCUAGAGUGUGUCAGAGGGGGGUAGAAUUCCACGUGUAGCAGUGAAAUGCGUAGAGAUGUGGAGGAAUACCGAUGGCGAAGGCAGCCCCCUGGGAUAACACUGACGCUCAUGCACGAAAGCGUGGGGAGCAAACAGGAUUAGAUACCCUGGUAGUCCACGCCCUAAACGAUGUCAACUAGUUGUUGGGGAUUCAUUUCCUUAGUAACGUAGCUAACGCGUGAAGUUGACCGCCUGGGGAGUACGGUCGCAAGAUUAAAACUCAAAGGAAUUGACGGGGACCCGCACAAGCGGUGGAUGAUGUGGAUUAAUUCGAUGCAACGCGAAAAACCUUACCUACCCUUGACAUGCCACUAACGAAGCAGAGAUGCAUUAGGUGCUCGAAAGAGAAAGU
rnacentral:rRNA from 1 species